CAAUAGCGUAUAUUAAAGUUGUUGCAGUUAAAAAGCUCGUAGUUGGACCUUGGACCUGGGCAGGCGGUCCGCCUCACGGCGUGUACUGUCUUGCUGGGUCUUUCCUCUUGGUGAUCUGUUGUUUCGGCAGCAGGGAACCAGGACUUUUACUUUGAAAAAAUUAGAGUGUUCAAAGCAGGCUCGACGCCGGAAUAUAUUAGCAUGGAAUAAUAAAAUAGGACGUGCGGUUCUAUUUUGUUGGUUUUUGGAAUCGCCGUAAUGAUUAAUAGGGACAGUCGGGGGCAUUAGUACUCACAUGCUAGAGGUGAAAUUCUUGGAUUUUGUGAAGACUAACUUCUGCGAAAGCAUUUGCCAAGGAUGUUUUCAUUAA
rnacentral:rRNA from 1 species